CAAACUAAGAGAUAUUUUUUUUGUUUCUAGUUUGUUUUUUUUAGUCAUAAAUACAUGUUGAAUUUUUCAAAUGUCUUUUUUCUGUGUCUGUUGAGAAAAGCAUAUGAUCUUUUCCUUUAGCGAAAAAGAACUGUUUAUGUGGCAGAUACACUGAGGGCUUUUCCAUUGUGGGACCACCUUGGCCCCCCUGGGACAAUCUCCACAUGAUUGUGGUGCAUUAUUUUUUCAAAAUAUAAUGUUGAGUAAUAUUUUAUUUAGAAAUUUUUGCAUCUGUGUUCAUUCACACAGUUGUACAACUUGACUGCUUCAGAAGUACAUGCAGGUGGAGACUGGAAACUGGGGUGGCGGGGCCUCCGUGGGCUCCAUGCUGGGGUUCUUUCUUGAAUGGCCUGUGUAAAGAUUUCUGACACAUGAGUCUGGAACUCUCCUCAGUUUUGAGUAGUGUGGGGACAGACCUUUUGCAUGUACAAGAUGCAGCAAGUUUUAUGGCCUUUCAGGAACAUGGCCUCGGGACUUAGGCCAGACACCAGAGAAUGCAUUGCUUGUCCUAGGGCUCCUUCUCUGCUCUCUUGUUUUGGGGUUCCCUGCUAAUCACUCCCUGUCAUCUCAGUAUCUCGCUCUCUCUACCCUGUAAUGUCUCUGUGUCUCUAUCUUGAAGCCUUGUAUCUCUGUCGUCAGUUGUCCAGCCCUGCGCCUCUGGGCAGGCCUCUGCUCUCCCUUCUCUGGCUCUGUCUCCCCAUCUUUGAAAUGUGGACAAGCCCCCGAGUUUACAGCUUUGUGUGCAUUGUCUCAGGCUGGGGGGGACAUCUUGGUCUCAGUUGUUCUCAUCCUCCAAUGUGUGGUCACCGUGUCCCCCUGGACAUUGUUCUUGAAGUUUGCGGCAAACCCUGGUGGUCAGGGGAUUUGGACGUGAUCCGCCAUUGGCCCUGGGAGGUGAGCCUCCGGCUGGAAAAUGAGCACGUAUGUGGAGGGGCCCUCAUUGACCUCAACUGGGUAGUGACUGCUGCCCACUGCAUCCAAGGCACCAAAGAGUACUCAGUGAUUCUUGGUACCAACAAGCUGAAGCCCGCAGACUCCCUGAGGGUCACCAUGAUCCCUGUGAAGGACAUCGUUAUGCACCCCAAGUUCUGGGGCCGGACCUUCAUCAUGGGGGAUGUUGCCCUUCUGCAGCUCCACAGGCCUGUGGCACUCAGCAAGUACGUGCAGCCCAUCUGCCUCCCAGAGCCCAGCUACAAUCUGAAGGUUGGGACACAGUGCUGGGUGACUGGCUGGGGCCAGGCUAAACAGCGCUUCUCAGUUAACUCCACACUGACCCCAGAGCUGCAGGAGGCUGAGGUGUUUAUCAUGGACAAUAAGAGGUGUGACCAGAUUUACCGCAAGAAGUCCUUCAUCCCCCACAUUGUCCCCCUUGUCCUGGGGGACAUGAUCUGUGCCACCAAUUACGGAGAAAACUUGUGCUCGAGUCCUGGUUCCAGACCUGUGGUCACACCAACAUCGCUUGCAAAAUGGUGAAGGGGAAGCUGGUAGAGGUAGGCAAGUGGCCAUGGCAGGUGAGCAUCCUCCUUCUGGGUGUAUACAUCUGUAGUGGCUCCAUCAUCCAUCACCAGUGGAUCCUCACAGCUGCACAUUGUCUACAGAGGUCAGUCAGGGCAGCCAGCCAGACCUAGAGUUUUGCUUUCUGGCCUAGGGGAUAGGGGUAGGCAGUAAAUUCGGGGAUCUGGGACUAGGGGCCCAGCUGGGUUACAGUGUGCUCAGUCUGUGUUUCUCUAACCACGUAUGACCUCACUGCUAAUUAUCUGCCUCCUCCCCAUGACCCUACAGAUCCAAAGACCCCAAAAUGUACUCCGUGAGGGUGGGAGUCCAACGCCUCCCAGAAAACAGCACUCAGCUCCUGCUCACUCGCAUUGUGAUUCACGAGGAUUUCCACAACCUCAUAUCCCAGGACAUUGCCCUUCUGAAGCUCAGAGCCCCCAUAUCCUGGUCCCCGCUCAUCCAGCCUGUCUGCCUACCCAGCAGAAGAUUUGAGCCAUCUAUCGGAACCUUGUGCUGGGUGAUUGGGUGGGGAUAUAAAAAUCCUCAAGUCUCUUCAGUAACCCCAAAGAGCCCCUACAGUCUUCAGGAGGUGGCUGUCAAGAUCAUAAACAGUGAAAUCUGCCGUCAUCAGUACCAGUUCCUCUUCUUGAAGGACCAGAAGCAGUUCAUUGGGAAUGACAUGCUGUGUGUCAGCUCAGAAUGGGGCAUGGACUCCUGUCAGGUGCAGGGUGCUAUGGCCCAGGGCAGGGAGAGGGCUUUCAGGGGUCAUGUCUUCCUUUUCACAAGUUACUGGGUGACCUUAUGAAAAUCUCCUUUCCUUGGCCUUCAGUUACCAAGUCUGUAAAAUAGAGUAACUAUCUUCUUUGCACUUGGCCACAAUAAUGGUACUAAUGGCAAUACUUCUCAGGUCUUUUGAACACUUCUGAACAUCAGUCACAUGCCCAAGUGUGGACCAGGUGCUGGCAGAAUCAGUUUUGCAUAAGUGGCAUCAUUCUGAAAACAUGGGCCUGACUCUUGAAUCUUCUGUUGAACAUUGUUUUUGAGAUUUAUACGUAUUGAUAUGUGCAGCUCUAAUUCAUUAACAGCUCUCUAUGAUAUCCUCUUGUGAAUAUGCCACAGUUUAAACACUCUACUAUUUAUAGUGCUAAGGUAGUUUUCAGGUUUUUUAAAAAAAUCAUUUAUUUGAAAGA